rnacentral:rRNA from 1 species
AACGAACGCUGGCGGCGUGGAUAAGACAUGCAAGUCGAGCGCUCAUUUCAGGGUAGCAAUAUUCUGAAGUGGGAGCGGCGCAAGGGUGCGUAACACGUGGGUAAUUUGCCAAGAAGUUUGGAUAACUCGCUGAAAGGCGAGCUAAUACCGGAUGUGAUAAUCGGAAGGCAUCUUUUGAUUAUUAAAGUUGGGGACCGUAAGGCCUGACGUUUCUUGAUAAGCCCGCGGCCUAUCAGCUAGUUGGUGAGGUAACGGCUCACCAAGGCUAAGACGGGUAGCUGGUCUGAGAGGACGACCAGCCACACUGGAACUGAGACACGGUCCAGACACCUACGGGUGGCAG